rnacentral:lncRNA from 1 species
AUCAGACAUUCUAAAAUAAUUAAUUUAGUGUUUCCGGAAUUAAAGGCGGAAAUUGAAGGCUAGCACUUCUUUGUUUCAGUGUCCGAAUAAAAUGUAUAGUACAAUAUUUUAAAGGAGGUCAACUCGUGUAGCUGAACACUACAUAAAUUAUCAGCAUUAAAUUAAAGGAUCAAAGGUCAGGAAAACAAGGAGGAAAAUGAAAUUAUUAUAUAAGAAGGGAUUUUUUGUUCUGAAAUAAUUAUAAUUUGUAACUAAGAGUGGAAUAAUGCCAUCUUACAAAAAUAAUUUCGUUUUUGUAACGUUUUAGAUCAUCUGGUUACGGUCCCCCCCCCCUUAAAAUAAGGAUCUGAACAUGGCGUGAAACAGAGUGUUGUGGUCUAAAAGAAAAGAAUUAAUUCUUGUUGAAAAGUGAUGAAUCAUAGACACAGAGAAAGGGACUUGUCCCAUCGUCCAUUGAAAACCCUCAUUUGUGAUCUAAGUAAUCAAUCAUGGAAUUGUGGAUCGUCUAAUCAAACUUCGAGUCGCAGAUCACCUUAAUUGGCUCUAUUGCUUCAUAUUAAACCCCGUCGAGGAAAUAUUAAUAACAUAUCCAAUUUCUAGUGUGCGUAAUAUACAUUCCUUGUAGAAUUUAUGUUUUUCUGGACAUAACACCAUGUCUCUGCAGGGGUGUCCGCAGGAGGGGGGGGGGGAUGCAGAAAUUUAAAAAAAAAUCACUUCUAUGAAAAAGAAAAAAAAAUUCUGGCGGAUGCCCCAGCUCUAUCUAAUGGGUAAUAACUCAAGAUUUAAGCAUUAUUGACAACAAUUUAGUAUUUUUAUUUUAUUUGCCUUUUUUAGUUCAUGCUUUUUUUCAAGACUUCCUGAUUUAAUCAACCUUUUUAGCUACUUGAUACUCUCUCAAAAAACCAAUGUCUAAUUCUGUGGGGAUAGUACUAUGGAUCGUACAUUCAAAAAGGAGUCGUUUGGUAUUUUGUGUCAUUUUCUUUAUAUUUUUAAGGAAUAGAAAAACCCAUAACAUUUAUUUAUGACUUAUAAAUGUAGAUUCCAUAAACUUAUUUCGGUGUUAACGAAAUUCUAACGAUAACUAAGGCAAAGAUAACCUUCGAUAUGCCACAGUGACUUCACUACUUUUGUGUAAAAUAUUGAAUGGGAUUGCCAUAGAGCUCCACUAAUUCUCGAACAUCUUCGGAAGAAAACUUUUGAAUAAGCUCCUCUUGUUGGAAACAAUUUUCAUAGUCAGCAAAAGAUAGAAGAGAACCAGAACUAUAUUCUUCUAAUAUUUGAGAUAUUCAUCCUUGAAACUCAGAAUCCCGUCCCUGGUAUUCUAGCACCGUUUCGUAAAAUCUAGGAUAUCAUGAAGAUGGAUGAACCACGGAGAUUGAAAUCACACAACCUCGUUUUUGCUGUGGGGUAACCUUUAAUAGAUCAUCUUUGAUAUUUGGCAUGAUUUGUAGAAAAGUGAAGGAAUAUGGUGGCGAUUAUAUUCGUAAAACAAUUAAAGGACUUCAAUAAAACAACUUCGAUAAUGUAGAAAAUAUUUUGUUAGCAUUAUAUAAACCAAUAAUAAUAUAUUCGACAGUUUAUUUACUCCAGGAACAAUAUGUAUACUGCGUUUCUUAUUUUCUUGCACAUAAUCAGAGGGACCAUAGCUUUUAAUUAUGAAAUUAGACGUUUUCUAAGCUAUUAAUUCAAUCAAUUUUAAAAUCAUUAUAUAAUUUUACAACGCACAUAGCACUUAAAAACAAGGUCCAUUGUCUAUGUAUAUUAGUCUUCCUCUAUCCUUAUUGAUGGUAAGAAGACAUAAGAAGAAAUUAAUUCUUCCACUUUCGUUAUGAUCUCUUUUGGUUUCACAUAUAGUCUUUUUAUCCAAGAAUACCUUUUAAAUUAACUACAACAUUAUGAAUUGCAUCAACAAUCUUAAUUAUAUUUGGUCUCACAAUAUACACCAACUUUAACAAUGGAAGCUUCUUAUGAUUUUGAUAAGGAUAAAAAGUAGCUCUUGCUCUAAAAACAACCUCAAUUGUAUGUCUAUCAAACUGAUGAGUUGAUUGAACGAGUGAAACGCGUCUAUUUGUUGAUUUAAUAAUUUUAAUUAUUAACUGCAUCUUGCUUCAGAAGAUGCCCAAUUCGUAUUUCACCUUUACCAAGAUUAAUCUUAAGAAACUACAAGGGUUCUUCUUUCCUUCCUUCUUCCCCUCCUCUUAUUCUUUAAUAUGUAUAUAUGUAAAGUACUGUUUUAGCUUCUUUCUUAAUAGUAUAAAUAACUGUAACUCUCAUGUAUUUAUCAGAGUAGUGUCGAGUAACAAUGAUGUCUAUAAUAUACUUGUUUAUAUAUAA